CAGCAGUCUGUGUUUCCUCGGCUCCUGAUUCCACAUUCCAUUCCAGAGCCUGUGUGGAGAAUUCCAUUCUCCUGAGAGUACUGAGACCAUGCACAAGACACUGACCAAACACAAUUCCAAAGAGCCCAAAAUAAAAGCUUUGUGAGCACUGUGCCAGUUAGCUGGAGUUGUAGCAUUGACUACAGGAAGCAAGCCGAACCUUCCUUACCGUGGGAAGCAUCUCGGGAGUGUAAGAGCAUGCCCCACUGGUGAUAAUCUGGGAAUUUCACAGCAACAAAGACCCUUGCCCACAACGUCUCCCGGGCCACAUUGCUUCCUUUGUAUAGUCAUCAGCAAGCAAUAAGCAUGCCUUCCUGGCACUGGAACCACACUCAGCUCUAAACCUUAUCAUGAUGCUUCUUGCCAACCACAGAUGUCACAUGCUGUUAGCAUCAUCCCUUACUGGACCUUUUGCUCCCGACACAGAGAGGCACACUGCAAACAGUAGAGAGAGGUUACAAUGGAGAAGUAAUUGCAGCCUUAUAGCUUUGGAUAUCAAAAUUGGGGCAGCAGACCAGCCGUGGCAGCAGCAUCUGGGAACUUGUUAGAAUUGCAAUCCCAGAUGUGCUGAAUCAAAAACUUCCAGGAUCCCUUCCACAGGCCGAAACGCAUGCCUGGCACUGUAAGUCCAGCCAAGAACCCACAAUGGAGGGCCCCCUAGACCUCACAGGAACAUUGCUUACUAUCAGGGAAGACAGGCAGUUUAUGGAUGGUUACAAAGCAGUGUGCAUGAUAAGUUCUGCAAUGUGUGAACACAGCAUACUUCAGAAGAGGAGGGUCUCAGCCUACCAUGGAAGGCUUCCUCAAGAGGGAACACUUUAGCACAACCUGAAGGCAAUCCCUGUGAAAAGGUCACUCGACCCCCCCCUGCCCCGAGGGGGCCGUAACCUACUGAUUGAGAACCACUGUUCCAGAUGGACACAAACUCCUCUGUCCUUCCCUUCUCCAUCCCCAUUAUGGAGCUUUGCUAUCACAGAGAAUGAAGAAGCAUAAUGCAGAUCCUAGGAGACUUUGCAGCUGCCUCCAGCUACUAUGACGGACUUCUCAUUUGGUGGCUCUCCCACAAAGGUCAUGUCACCGAGCCAGAUGGGAUGGCAGGUGCUAUGAUUAUGUUCACCCACAUAUCAGGUUCACACAUCUUGAUCGGUCGUCAUUCAAGACCCCGUGAGACUGUGAAGGUGGUUUCAGCUACCCACCCAUCUGCUUCCUAACCUAAGGUCCUGCUUCUUCCAGCCACAUGCUGAGAGCUGCCCCCAGCUCUGAGGACAAGUCUGCUCCCCGACAGGAGGAAUUUAAGGAGCUUUAGUUCUCUGGUCCAGGCUCCACGGUGUCUAGUCAACAGUACUUCUGCUUUCGCUCUCCUCUUGGGCUGGGAAUUCAGCUUCUACCUCCUUCCCGUGAACAGUACUACUGGCAUCUAUGUCCUUAUGAGCCUUGUCAAUCACCAGACACCUUCCUCACCGGACCUUCCUCACUGGACAAGCAGCUAAAUUCCUCCUAGGGCAUUCCACCCUGCAGGGGGAAGGGCUAGGGCUACCUGCUGCCACCUCUUAGACCAAACACACCUUUCUGGCGAAGAAGUGUUCUAGGGACAAGCAAAUGAAUGCCCAGAUUUUCAUAGACUUCAUUACUGUGCAUACUCAAUAGUCCCGGCUACCUCAUAUGGGGUCCCCUAGGGUUGAGCAUUUGGGAAAGUAUCAGCACAUGAUUCCAGAACAGUGUUUCUAAAAUAGGGGAUCACCUCAGGGGACAUUUGGUGAUGUGUGGAGAAAUUUUGGGUGGUCACAAUUGAGGACAAGUUAUCAUCUCAUUACAUAGAGGCUAAGAUCCUGCUAAACACCCUGCAAUGCAUGCAGGUGCUCCCACUGCUAGCCAAGACUGAAAAACACUUUCUAGAGAUGUUUCAAGCACCAGAAGCAGCAUUAAAAACACAACAAAAAUUCCCAACAAGGAUGAUACUUCUGUUUUCAAUGCACACCUUAUCUAAUGAUCAAAAUCCAUGCUCGUUAAAGAAAAGCUACAAAAUAAAAAUGGGCAAAAGACAACCACUAAUAUCCCCACCACUGUACACAGUGGUGGUGACAUAUAAAAUUUAUACCCCGCUUUCUCUAUACAACCAGCUUUUCUCCAUGUUCCUAGAAGCUCUCAGACUGCCCUUGACUUUCUAUGUGAGAUUCUUUUCCAUGAACA